AUUACAAUAUGAGCUUUACUACAAAAAUGAGGCAUUGGAAUUACAAUAUGGGUACAUUACACCGUAAUAUAUCCAAAAAAUACAGUGACUAAGCAUUGGAAUUACAGAGUAAAUCAGAGAAAUAUUACAGAGUGAUGAAGAAGCAUACAUGAAAAUCAUGGGAGUUACACAAGAAACCUGAGGAAAAUUACACUUCACUAUAACUAAAAAAUACAAUGACUAGGCAUGGGAAUUACAGUACAACCAUAAUUACAAAUUUGAAGCAAGGGAACUACAACACGUAAAUAUGGGAAUAUUACACAUUAAUAUAUCCAAAAAAAUAGUUACUAAGCAUGGGAAUUACACAGUAAAUCAAGGGAAUAAUACAGUGUGAUGAAGAAGCCUACAUGAAAUUCAUCAGAAGUACAGUGGAAUUCUGAGGUAAAUACACUGUAAUAUAACUAAAAAAUAUAAUGACUGAGCAUGGGAAUUACACUGCAAAUCAGGUGAAUUACAGUGCAAAGAAGUAAUACAGUGUAAUUCUACAAAAUACAAGCACUAAAUAUGGGAAUUACACCACAAAAUCAGAUAAAUAUUACAGUGCAAAGAAGUAAUAUAGUGUAAUUCCACAAAAUACAGGCACUAAGCAUGGGAAUUACACCGCAAAAUCAGAUAAAUAUUACCGGGUAAGCACAUGGAAAAUGCUGCCAAAUACAUGACCAAUAACACUUGAACCUAACCUUACACUCUAAUACUGGAGGGAUCUAAGACUGAAAACAUAGGGGGCAAUUGCAGGGCUAGAACACAUGAGAUUACAGAAUAGCACAAUCAGGGACAUCCACUGAAGAAUCAUACUCCCAAGGACGAGACACAUUAAGCAUUACAGAGACUCCCACUAGAGCAAAAUCACCAACCCAAACACAUGAAGCAUUACACACGAAUCAUACUCCAACCAGAACAAAACCCAACGGAAACCCUAAAUCUAGACCCCUACCAGCGACUACAGGAAACGAAACACAUACCAGCGCCUACACCCGAGGGGAUUCAGACAUGAAAGAGCUAAAAACCUAAGCAGAGGAACCACAUCAAUUUCAUAGAACUUACACAAACACAUCGGGAGCCAUGGGAAAAAUCUACAAGAGCACAUACACCAAACACGGGCAAGAACAUACACAAUCCAUCAAUCAAACACCAGAACAUACAUGGAUCUCGAAUCGAAACUAGCAGAAACGGAGGAGAAACCUAGAUCACACGGGGGAGAGAGAGAGAGAGACGAGAACAACCAACUGGGGCAGCCGAGGAACGAAGAGCAAGGGAGGAGAAAUCAAGCUCGAAGGGAAGGGGAUCUCAGAAUCGACAUGAAUGACGGGAAUCGCCUCCGCUCCUUCACCGCUCGAGGGCCUCUUCCCCUCUCUCGCUCUCUCAUCUCUGCCUUAUCCAAACAAUACCGCCAAAUGAAAUGGGGAAAAGACACAGAC
rnacentral:rRNA from 1 species